CGAAGGGUGCAAGCGUUAUCCGGAUUCAUUGGGUUUAAAGGGUGCGUAGGUGGGGCGAUAAGUCAGUGGUGAAAUCCUGCAGCUCAACUGUAGAAUUGCCAUUGAUACUGCCGCUCUUGAGUACGCUUGACGUGGGCGGAAUGUGCCGUGUAGCGGUGAAAUGCUUAGAUAUGGCACAGAACACCGAUAGUGAAGACAGCUCACGAAGGCGAAACUGACACUGAGGCACGAAAGCGUGGGGAUCGAACAGGAUUAGAUACCCUGGUAGUCCACGCCGUAAACGAUGAUCACUCGUGAUUGGCGAUAUACGGUCAGUCACCUAGCGAAAGCGUUAAGUGAUCCACCUGGGGAGUACGAUCGCAAGAUUG
rnacentral:rRNA from 1 species